rnacentral:rRNA from 1 species
GACGAACGCUGGCGGCGUGCCUAAUACAUGCAAGUAGGACGCAGUUGCGAACGGGUGAGUAACGCGUAGGUAACUGCCUAUUAGAGGGGGAUAACUCUUGGAAACGAUAGCUAAUACCGCAUACUAGUAGAUGGACCUGCGUUGUAUUAGCUAGUAGGUAGGGUAAUGGCCUACCUAGGCGACGAUACAUAGCCGGCCUGAGAGGGUGGUCGGGCAAACUGGGACUGAGACACGGCCCAGACCCCUACGGGAGGCAGCAGGAGGGAAACUUCGGCAAUUGGGGGAACCCUGACCGAGCAACGGCGCGUGAGUGAAGAAGGUUUUCGGAUCGUAAAGCUCUGUUGUUAAGGGAGCGGUACUUAACCAGAAAGGGACGGCUAACUACGUGCCAGCAGCCGCGGUAAUAC